GGGCACAUGGUGUAGUUGGUUAUCACGCCCGCUUAGCAUUUAUGCGUCUGCGGGCGGUCCCCGGUUCAAUUCCGGGUGUGUCCA
rnacentral:tRNA from 1 species